rnacentral:rRNA from 1 species
CAGCAGCCGCGGGAAAACGGAGGGUGCAAGCGUUAAUCGGAAUUACUGGGCGUAAAGCGCACGCAGGCGGUUUGUUAAGUCAGAUGUGAAAUCCCCGAGCUUAACUUGGGAACUGCAUUUGAAACUGGCAAGCUAGAGUCUUGUAGAGGGGGGUAGAAUUCCAGGUGUAGCGGUGAAAUGCGUAGUGAUCUGGAGGAAUACCGGUGGCGAAGGCGGCCCCCUGGACAAAGACUGACGCUCAGGUGCGAAAGCGUGGGGAGCAAACAGGAUUAGAUACCCCUGUAGUCCCUGUCUCUUAUAC